rnacentral:lncRNA from 1 species
AUUUACAGCUGGAAGGGCAGACGGAGGCAUCUUGGUGUAUACACAGCCCUGCUGGGCCACAUCCCGGGUCUCCUCCCUCUGCGAUGCCAUAGCAGGGGCGCCUUCCGAAAGCCCUCUGGAUUGAGGCAGCAGGAUCUAUGGUGGAACCUGCCCCGGCGUCGCCAACGCCCCUAGGACCCCAGCACACUGACUGGGGAGCAUCCCUGUGUCGUUUCUGCCCGGAGAGGAGCAGAGGCCAGGCUGCUGCUCUGGGAGAUGAGACUUUCUGGUGCACCUGCACUUCCACAUGAGACUUCCGGGUGCACCUGCACUCCCAGAUGCAGACUUCCUGGUGCACCUGCACUUCCUGGUGCAGACUUCUUGGUUCAUCUGCAACUUCCUGGUGAGAAUCCCUUGGGCAUCUGCACUUCCUGAUGCACCUGCACUUCUAGUUAUUUUAGAGAAAACGUUCCCUGAACAUGCCACAUGCAGAGGAUGCUGGGUAUCAGGCUACCUUUGCUGGACAGCUCCAGGUAACUGCAUUUGCUCUGCCAAUGUUGGCUUUUUAAAAAUAGAAAACACAUAUAGACAAAUCCAUCACACACACAUGCACAGACACACACACACACACACACAGACAAAUCCAUCACACACACAUGCACAGACACACACACACAGAGUCAACGACAUAGGCUCACAAGUAGAGCUCUUCGUCUGUUUAUACUUAAUGCAAUUACUGAUACAUCUAAGUUUGGAGCUGCUGUUUUCUUUUACGUAUACUGUUUGUUUGCAGAUUCUGUGUAUAAAUUCUUUCCUUUCUUGCCGCCUUUUAGAUGAUUUCCCCCAGCUUACCUUGAGGACUUUCGAGCAAACAGACACGUUGAAAGAAUAGACAAGGACCACUUGCAUGCCCCUCAGUUAGAUUCACCAACUGUCAAUAUUUUGCACUGUAUGUAUACACGUACAUGUCUGUGUAUACACAUAUACACAUACAGUCACACAUCGCCCGAUGGCAGGGAUGGUUCUGAGGAAGGCGCUGUUAGGCGAUUUCGUCGCUGUGCGAGCAUCAUAGUGUGAACUUACUCAAACCUAGAUGGCACAGACUCAUCGCCUCCCACACGCCUGGGCUGUAUGGCAGGACCUCCUGCUACCGGGCUACAAACCCAGGCAGGGUGGUACUGUACUGAAUGGUGCAGGUGAUUGUAACACAAUGGUAAGUAUUUGUGCAUGUAAACAUACCUAAACAUAGAAACAGUGUAGUAAAAAUAUGGUAUAAAAGAUCAAAUACAGUACACCUGUACAAGGUCUGCUCUGUUCUAAUCUUAUGGGGCCACCACUGUAUAUGCCGUCUAUUCUUGACAGAAGUGCUUUAUGUGGCACAUGACUGUACAUGGAAAUACACACACACUCACACACAUCCACACACAAGCAUAUGCAUACACACAUAUAUACAUGUAUAUACACGUGCAUAUAACAUAUGUAGAUAUCUGCCAAUUGCUAUCCAACGUGAAUUCCAUAAAUUUACACUCCUACCAGCAGCAUUUGGGUAUCUGAGGUGUCACACAUCCUUGCCAGCACUGGAUAUUAUCCCGGCUUGGAGAUUUUGCCAGCCUGGUGGGUGUGAAGUGGAUCUUGUUGUGGUUUUAAUUUCCAUUUCUCUAAUUAUGCAGAGGCUGAGUGCCAGGCUUCCUCUCCUGGGAAGAGCCUGCCGGCUUGCGGGCUGUCAGCGCUCACUGUGGGUGCGGGUGGCGUGCCUGCCUGCACGGCCCUUGCCUCUCUUAGUCUACAGGGUCUCCACUCCUGAGUUCCCGGAAACAAGAUACAGAUUUCAGAAUGGCACCUGAACAUUGUUUACUGAUUUCCGGCUGGAAGUGAGGGUCCGAGGGAUUCUUCUAUGGAAUUGUAUGACUCAGCAUCUUUCUGAUUGCAAGCAGCAGCAUCGCAGCCUAAAUGAAUCUAUUGGCUUCUUCAACAGACCAAUCCGGUGGACGUGGUGGCUUCGGGUGAGGGAUGCUCCAGGGGCUCUCCAUGAUGUCCCCAAGGUCCUUUAACCUCUGGGCACUGCUUCUGCAGGAUUGGCUUUGCUUAGGGUUGGUUCCCCUUCAUUCUUGAGCUGGUUGUGGGCAACUCCUGCCCCCUGUGGGGGGACUGGACUGCCUUAGAUCACAUGUGUGUCCCUGACUCUCUGUGGUCAGGGGAUAGAAUAUUCAGAUUGGAGGGGAGCCAGCUUCUCCUAAACCACGUGGAUCUCCAAACGGAAGUCAGAGCAGAUGGGAAGGGGGAGCAGACGUUGAGCUCAAUCAAUAAACACCCACCUUGGGAGCUGCAGCCUGGAGGGCUUGGUGACUGCCACGCUGGCUGCUCAGAGCUCCUCGCUUACUUUUGGGCAUAUGCCUGUGAACCAGAUGGUGGCACCUCCUGAAAAUCGGGUCUGUGGAUAAUGGGAGGAUUUUUUAAAUUAUGAAAAUGUUCAUUAUGGAAGAAUAAAUGAAGAAUAGCAUAUG